rnacentral:rRNA from 1 species
GGGGUGCUAUACAUGCAGUCGUACGCUUCUUUUUCCACCGGAGCUUGCUCCACCGGAAAAAGAAGAGUGGCGAACGGGUGAGUAACACGUGGGUAACCUGCCCAUCAGAAGGGGAUAACACUUGGAAACAGGUGCUAAUACCGUAUAACAAUCGAAACCGCAUGGUUUUGAUUUGAAAGGCGCUUUCGGGUGUCGCUGAUGGAUGGACCCGCGGUGCAUUAGCUAGUUGGUGAGGUAACGGCUCACCAAGGCCACGAUGCAUAGCCGACCUGAGAGGGUGAUCGGCCACAUUGGGACUGAGACACGGCCCAAACUCCUACGGGAGGCAGCAGUAGGGAAUCUUCGGCAAUGGACGAAAGUCUGACCGAGCAACGCCGCGUGAGUGAAGAAGGUUUUCGGAUCGUAAAACUCUGUUGUUAGAGAAGAACAAGGAUGAGAGUAACUGUUCAUCCCUUGACGGUAUCUAACCAGAAAGCCACGGCUAACUACGUGCCAGCAGCCGCGGUAAUACGUAGGUGGCAAGCGUUGUCCGGAUUUAUUGGGCGUAAAGCGAGCGCAGGCGGUUUCUUAAGUCUGAUGUGAAAGCCCCCGGCUCAACCGGGGAGGGUCAUUGGAAACUGGGAGACUUGAGUGCAGAAGAGGAGAGUGGAAUUCCAUGUGUAGCGGUGAAAUGCGUAGAUAUAUGGAGGAACACCAGUGGCGAAGGCGGCUCUCUGGUCUGUAACUGACGCUGAGGCUCGAAAGCGUGGGGAGCAAACAGGAUUAGAUACCCUGGUAGUCCACGCCGUAAACGAUGAGUGCUAAGUGUUGGAGGGUUUCCGCCCUUCAGUGCUGCAGCUAACGCAUUAAGCACUCCGCCUGGGGAGUACGACCGCAAGGUGAUAGAAAAACGGGGGAUGA